CAGACGAGAACUAAAUUUUAUUGUGUGAGUGUUCCGCCAUAUUGGCAGUCUAGGAGCACUAGGAGUUCGAACGCUUUAAUCCGUUAACAUUUUUGUGUUUGUUGUGUGCAUCACAAUCGGAUUUCGGUGUUUUAUUAUUCCAGUUAUUGUUUCUGUAUUGGUCCAGUUAUCCUGUUGAAUUAUUGGGGACGGAUAUCAAUAAAAAGAAAGAAGAAGAAGAUCACGUAUUUCUCGUUAUUAAAUUAGGUUUGCGUCUAUUAAAGAAUAAGUGUACCAGAAUGGUUAGAGCAUGUUGUGUACUCAAUUGUACAUAAAAGAAAAAUAUGCCAUCGCAUGUAUUUCCAACAAAUGUACACAUGCGUGAAAAGUGGUUAAAAAGUUUAAUUUUGAAACCCUACAAAGAAAAUGAAAUUAGUAAGCUUAGAAUUUGUUAUGAACACUUUAAAGAAAGUGAUUAUACUGGGACUUCCAAAUAUCGAAGACUAAAUCGGACUGCUGUUCCUUUCAUAACAACAGAGGCAUGUACAACACAAUUUAAGAAUACUAUACAGCAUCAAGAACAAAGCAUACAACAAGAGACAAUUACAAGAAUUUGAUAUUAAAUAGAAGAAAAUGUAAGGGCAAGGAGGAUAAAACUACAAAAAUACGAGAGGACUUCAUCAAUAUGAUGUUGAGAAAUAAUGAUGUUCCACCACAGGCAAGACGAUAUACAAUUCAGGAUAAGAUAUUCUGUUUGGGCAUUUAUCGUAGAUCCCGUUCAUCUUAUAAUUUUAUAUUUAAAUUUUUAUUAUGUCCAUCACAUACAAUUUUGAACACCGAAUUAAUUUGUUAAUCAAAAAUUUUAUACUACAAUAUAAAAUGGAAAAACAAUACGAAAAAGAACAUACAAAUAUUUGACAAAUAUAAAAUAUAAAUUGUAUAUUGUAUAUUAUAUUAUAAUUGUGUAUUGUAUCUAUUGUACGUUAUAAUAAAUAUUCUUAUUCUUAUUUUCAAU